rnacentral:rRNA from 1 species
GACGAACGCUGGCGGCGUGCUUUAUACAUGCAAGUCGAACGAUGAAGUUCCUUCGGGAAUGGAUUAGUGGCGAACGGGUGAGGAACACGUGAGAAACCUGCCUUUCAUUCUGGGAUAACAUCGGGAAACCGGUGCUAAUACCGGAUACUCCGUCUUGGCGGCAUCGCCGAGCCGGGAAAAAAUUUUGAUGAAAGAUGGUCUCGCGGCCUAUCAGCUAGUUGGUGAGGUAAAGGCUCACCAAGGCGACGACGGGUAGCCGGCCUGAGAGGGCGACCGGCCACACUGGGACUGAGACACGGCCCAGACUCCUACGGGAGGCAGCAGUAGGGAAUAUUGGGCAAUGGGCGCAAGCCUGACCCAGCGACGCCGCGUGAGGGAUGAAGGUCUUCGGAUUGUAAACCUCUUUCAGUAGGGAAGAAGCGAAAGUGACGGUACCUAAAGAAGAAGCACCGGCUAACUAUGUGCCAGCAGCCGCUGUAA